CUCCUCUGCCGUUUCGCCGCCUGCGUCUCCCUCUCCCUCCCUCCAGCUCCCAACUGACUGCUGCGAGGAGGAAAAUGGGCAGGCCCCGCGCGCGCACGCACCCUGCGCACACACCACACACACACACACGAUCACACACACACCCGCGCGCUCGCUCCCACCCGGCAGUCAUCCAUCAAUCGAAAAGCACACAUCCAGGGCCAGGCUCCUCCCCGCCCUCCCCCGCCGCAGCCCCCCUCUCCCGACGACCACUCAGCGGCUGCAAGCCGCCUACAGUUUCAAAGGUGGAACCUCCGAGGCGCCGUCAGCGGGCACGGGGCUGCGGGGGAUGGGAGAAGAGGGAAGGGGGUGCCAGCAAGGCUGGAUUGUGGCAGGGGGUUCAGGUGGGGAGCACAGAUGGAGGUUACAGAGGUAAUGAGGACACACCCCAGAGGCCCUGGUGCAGCCUUUCUCUGGCUUCACUGGGCUUUCAGCAUCACCUGGCCUGGCCCUGUCCUCAAACACAUGUCUAUAUAUGCAUGGGCUUGGAAAUGCACCCUUCCCCAUCACACCCCCUUCUCCACCACAUCCCCUCCUCCAUCGCAUCCCCUUCUCCACCGCAUCCCCUUCUCCAUCGGAGUCAGCCUUCAGUCCUCCAAAGUCCAAGAAGAUGACAAAAAUGCAGCAUCAGGGAGCUCAUUAAUCCAUCUGCAUCUUGGGGGCCUUGUCUGUAAAGAAUAAUCCUACCAACUAACAAACACUUCUAUUGUACCUAUAAAUUCCAGGGGCUCAUACUCUUCCAAGACCUUUACCUAUUAAAUCAUUUAAUACUCCCAAGAAACUUAGAAGGAGCUGGAAGCACAACGACGUUUGGGAGUUCACCCAAGGUCACACAGCACGUAGGUGGCAGAGCUGAGAUGUAAAAUACCCAUUUACUUAAGAUCUACCUCCUGGGGCCAGUGUGGGGAUUGAAUGGGUAGUACAUAGGA
rnacentral:lncRNA from 1 species